CAAAAGUUUGGUCCUGACUUUACCAUCAGUUUCAACCUAAUUUACACAUGCAAGCAUCCGCAACCCAGUGAAAAUGCCCUACCGUACCCCGCACGGGUACAAGGAGCAGGCAUCAGGCACAACUGUAUUUAGCCCAUGACGCCUUGCUAAUUAGCCACACCCCCAAGGGUUUUCAGCAGUGAUAAACAUUGAGCAAUAAGUGAAAGCUUGACUCAGUUAAGGUUUCUAGGGCCGGUUAAACUCGUGCCAGCCACCGCGGUUAUACGAGAGGCUCAAAUUGAAGGAUUCCGGCGUAAAGCGUGGUUAAGACUUGCUUAGAGUAAAGUCGAAUAUGUCCAAGGCUGUUAUACGCUCCCGAACAUAAGAAGUCCAACUACGAAAGUGACUUUAUACUUACUGACCCCACGAAAUCUAGGAAACAAACUGGGAUUAGAUACCCCACUAUGCCUAGACCUAAACAAUGAUAAAAACAUACACACAACAUCCGCCCGGGGACUACGAGCGCUGCUUAAAACCCAAAGGACUUGGCGGUGCUUUAGACCCACCUAGAGGAGCCUGUUCUAGAACCGACAACCCCCGUUCAACCUCACCCUUUCUUGUCAUUUCCGCCUAUAUACCGCCGUCGUCAGCUUACCUCUUGAAAGUUCAACAGUGAGCAAAAUUGGCACACCCCAAAACGUCAGGUCGAGGUGUAGCGUAUGGAAGGGGAUGAAAUGGGCUACAUUCCCUAAAACAGGGAACACGGACUACAUAUUGAAACAUGUGUACGAAGGAGGAUUUAGCAGUAAGCAAAAAAUAGAGCGUUAAGCUGAAACUGGCCCUGAAGCGCGCACACACCGCCCGUCACUCUCCCCACGCUUAAAACAACUCACUAAUUAAGAAAAGUAUAAAAGCAAUAGGGGAGGCAAGUCGUAACAUGGUAAGUGUACCGGAAGGUGCGCUUGGAAAAAC
rnacentral:ncRNA from 1 species